rnacentral:rRNA from 1 species
UACGAAGGGGGCUAGCGUUGUUCGGAUUUACUGGGCGUAAAGCGCACGUAGGCGGAUCGUUAAGUCGGGGGUGAAAUCCUGGAGCUCAACUCCAGAACUGCCUUCGAUACUGGCGAUCUUGAGUCCGGAAGAGGUGAGUGGAACUCCUAGUGUAGAGGUGGAAUUCGUAGAUAUUAGGAGGAACACCAGUGGCGAAGGCGGCUCACUAGUCCGGUACUGACGCUGAGGUGCGAAAGCGUGGGGGAGCAAACAGG